AAUUGGAGGGCAAGUCUGGUGCCAGCAGCCGCGGUAAUUCCAGCUCCAAUAGCGUAUAUUAAAGUUGUUGCAGUUAAAAAGCUCGUAGUUGAAUUUCGGGGUCAGUAGAUUGGUCGUGCCACUGGUAUGUACUGGUCUUACUGGCUCCUCCUUCCUGAUGAACCGUAAUGCCAUUAAUUUGGUGUUGCGGGGAGACUGGACUGUUACUUUGAAAAAAUUAGAGUGUUUAAAGCAGGCUAACGCUUGAAUACAUUAGCAUGGAAUAAUGAAGUAGGACGUUCGAUCUUAUUUUGUUGGUUUCUAAGAUUGACGUAAUGAUUAAUAGGGAUAGUUGGGGGCAUUAGUAUUCAAUUGUCAGAGGUGAAAUUCUUGGAUUUAUUGAAGACUAACUACUGCGAAAGCAUUUGCCAAGGAUGUUUUCAUUAAUCAAGAACGAAAGUUAGGGGAUCGAAGACGAUCAGAUACCGUCGUAGUCUUAACCAUAAACUAUGCCGACUAGGGAUCGGAUGAUGUUAAUUUUUUAAUGACUCAUUCGGCGCCUUACGGGAAACCAAAGUGU
rnacentral:rRNA from 1 species